AGUAAACAACAUCCACAAUCCUCGAGAGAGAAGAAAUCAACUUCUUAAAUAUAUUAAAUCCACCAGACUGUAGGUAAUUAUUCAUAUUUCGGGGAAAGAAAGAAUCAAAAACCUUAUUGAUCAAACCUUUCUGGAUUGAUGUCAGGAAAUUGCAGCGGACUGCGGUGAGGGGAGAUUCAAACGUCUGCCUUGGGUCUAAACCACGUUACAAGACCCAUCACCUGAUUCCAGCCACUGCCGUAAGAGGAGCCACAAUAUUUUGUCAACGCUCCAGCUCUGAAAUAGCUUCGGUUAAUGCUGCCCAACAGAACUACCACGCAGACCACAAAUGGGAGCCACGUGUCUAAUUUUAAAUUUUCUAGUAGCCCCACUGAAAAAAAAAAGGCAAAAAGAAACAGGUAAAAUUAAUUUAAAUAAUAAAUGUAAACACAAUAUACCAAAUAUUACCAUGUCAGUGUCUA